ACUCAACUCAACUCAGCUUUACUUUUAAUGUUGUUUUGGGUUUAUUAGAGGCUGUCUGGUAGUUGCACUGACAGCUGGGUAAAAGAAAUAUAGAACAAAUCAGGAUUAUUUGUUUAUAAAGAUUUCGGACUUUUUGUUUUUAUUAGCAAUGUAUUUGUUACCUUUUAUUCAUUUUAUUAAAAAUUAAAUCCGGUUCUUAUAUGCCUGAGAAUGGCUGGAGCUAAAUCAGGCGUUCAUGUUGUUCAAUUAAAACCCAUAUCUGUACCAAAGAGUUUAGUUGACGGAAAUAAGUUCGUUAAGUGGGAUGAUGAUGCUGCAGUUGGAACACCUGUUACUCUUAAAGUAGAUAAUAAAGGGUUUUUUCUCCACUGGACUGAUCAAAACAAGGAAACUGAAUUUGUGGAAAUAUCGUGUAUCCGAGAUGUUAGAACUGGCCGAUAUGCAAGAGUUCCUAAAGAAGGGAAAUUGCGAGACUCUGUUACAAUGGGUCCUCAAGAUAUCCCACUUGAAGAUAAAACUAUUACUGUUGUUCAUGGAUUUGACCUAGUCAAUGUUAAUUUUAUUAACUUUUGCUGUAUUGGAAGAGAUAUUGCUCAAGAAUGGACAGACACGUUAAUGGAAAUGGCAUAUAAUUUACUUGCGUUAAAUGCUCCUGCUACUACAUUUUUAGAGAAGUUAUAUACAAAAAUUCAAUUUAUGACCGAUAAGGAAGGAAAAGUUCCUGUUAAAAAUGUUGUAAAACUGUUUGCUCAAAAUAAAGAUGAUAAAAAGAGAGUAGAAAAGGCAUUAGAGCUUUGCGGCAUCUCUACUGGAAAAAAUGAUACUAUUUGUCCUGAAAAAUUCACCCUUGAAAACUUCCUAAGCUUUUAUCGAUAUUUAACAGGCAGGGAAGAAGUAGAUGCUAUAUUUGAAUCUUUGACUGGUAGUAAGAAAAAAGGAAUGACUGUGGAUCAGUUAGUUGAGUUUUUAAAUAAAGAACAAAGAGAUCCACGUUUAAAUGAAAUACUCUAUCCUUAUGCUGAUCCUGCAAGAGUGCGUGAAAUCAUAAAACAAUAUGAACCUCACAAGAGUUAUGCUCAAAAAGGAUUGUUAUCUGUGGACGGCUUUUUACGAUACCUUCUGAGUGCAGACAAUGUUAUAGUUGCUCCUGAAAAGUUUGACUUGAAUAAUGAUAUGGACCAACCUUUAAGUCAUUAUUUCAUCAAUUCAUCCCACAACACUUAUCUUACAGGCCAUCAACUCACUGGUAAGUCUUCCGUUGAAAUUUAUCGCCAGUGCUUGCUUACUGGAUGUCGGUGUGUGGAGUUGGAUUGCUGGAAUGGGAAAAAUUCUGAUGAGGAACCAAUUAUCACCCAUGGCUACACAGUUGUUACAGAAGUUUUAUUAAAAGAAGUUCUUGAGGCUAUUGCUGAAAGUGCUUUUAAAACUUCUGAUUAUCCAGUAUUGCUUUCAUUCGAAAAUCAUUGCUCGCCAAAGCAGCAAGCUAAAAUGGCUAUGUAUUGUACAAAAAUUCUGGGGGAUCUUCUUUUAUCUGAACCAUUGCCAAAUUUUGAGUUGAAGCCAGAGGAACCUUUGCCAUCACCUAACCAUUUACGUCGAAAAAUUUUAAUAAAGAAUAAGAAGAAGCACUACCCUAAAAAAGCUGCAUCUUCUAAAUCAUCUGGCUUAUCAGAAAAGGAAGAGGAACCAGCGCUACAGCCUUCCACAACACCCGAGAAAGUUCGACCAGUUUCGUCUGCCCCUGAAGGGGAGAAAAUUGUUCCUACUAAAGAAACUGUAAUAACUAAUGGAGUUCCAGAAAUGGAAAAAGUUCCAUCUGAGAUGGAUGACUCCAGUUCAGAUUCUGGCUCUGAAGAAGAGGAACAGGCAGAGGCAGAACAACAAGUGGAAGAUCAAAAUGAAGGAACUGCAGCUAAAGAGUCAGAAGCUGGUGCUGAAAUGUCUGCUCUAGUUCUGUAUACUCAGCCAGUGCGAUUUCAUACAUUUGAACAUGCUGAAAAAAGGAACCGGUGUUAUGAGAUAUCAUCUUUUGUUGAAACACAAGCUACAAAUCUAUUAAAGGAGCAUCCUGUGGAAUUUGUUAAUUAUAACAAAAAGCAACUAAGUCGUAUAUAUCCCAAAGGUACCAGAGUGGAUUCAAGUAAUUAUAUGCCUCAGGUAUUUUGGAAUGCUGGAUGCCAGUUAGUGGCCUUAAAUUUUCAAACUUUGGAUCUUGGUAUGCAGCUUAAUUUGGGAAUAUUUGAAUACAAUGGAAGAAGUGGAUAUUUAGUGAAACCUAAUUUUAUGCGCCGAAAAGAUAGAAAAUUUGAUCCUUUUACAGAGUCUACUGUUGAUGGCAUUAUUGCGGGUACUGUUUCCAUUAGGAUAAUAUCUGGUCAACUACUAACUGACAAAAGAGUAGGUACUUAUGUAGAGGUUGACAUGUAUGGCCUUCCUGCUGACACUGUAAGAAGAAAAUUUCGAACAAAAACAGUUCCCAAUAAUGGUAUUAAUCCAAUUUAUGAUGAAGAACCUUUUGUAUUUAAAAAGGUUGUCUUACCUGACUUGGCUUGUUUGAGGAUAGCUGUUUAUGAUGAUAAUGGACGAUUUAUUGGUCACAGAGUCUUACCAGUUGUGGGUCUUAGACCAGGCUAUAGACACAUAUCUUUGAGGAAUGAAUCUGGACAACCUCUUCAGUUCCACACGUUAUUUGUACAAAUUACAGUUAAAGAUUACAUACCAGAUGGCUUCUCUGAAUUGGCUGAUGCUUUAGCUAAUCCUAUAGCCUAUCAAUCCAUCAUGGAAAAACAUGCAUGUCAGCUCAUGGCCUUAACUGAUGAUGAUGAUAAUAUCGAUGAUGUGAAAGGAUCAGGAAAAUCACCAGCUAAGGUUAGUAUUGGAUCAAUCGACAAUACUCAAAGUACUCGCAAAGAGGACCAGACAGAUUCAAAAGGAUCACAGCCAUCCUCUAGGCAUAACACCAUCAAUGGAAAUAUUCAACGUAUGACAUCAUCUGGCAGCACAUCACCUGCCGCAAUGCCUGCAUUGAAACGGCAAGAAACUUUAAGAAGGGGUCUUGCACAGUCAGUAAGAAGUUUGUCUGAUGAAAAUGCUCAAGAAAAGAUUCCUUCCUUAUUAGAAUCGGAAGAAGCUAAUUUAGCUGCUGAAACUUUAGACAAAAUUAGAGAACAAAAACCUGUACAAAAAGUUAUAGCCAAACUUGAAAAAGACUUAUUGGUACUUCGGAAAAAACAUGAGAAGCUACGAGAGAAAGAAAAAGAGCAGUUACUUCUAAAAGAAGAGAAACUGAUGAAAGCCCAAGAGCAUCAAAAAACACAUAUUGUUAAGAGCCAUUCAAAACUCGCAAAAAAAAGCUCGGGAAUCGAUGUGCAGCUACUUAAGAGAAAGAGCGAAGCUGGUCUUCAAGCUAUGAGUGUAGAACACCAAACAAAAUUGGAUGAAUUGCAAAAACUCCAUUCCCACACAUUGAUCAGUUUAACAAAAGAACUUUACAAGGCUGAACUUGAACUUCACCAAAAGUAUCAGGAAUCUAUUUACACUGCUAUGGAAAAAUCAUUAAUGCUUUCCCAAACUGCUCAAAUGGAUCAUUUAAAAAGUUUGCAUGACAGGGAAGUUGCAGAAUUAAUGAAAAGGUUAGAAGUGCAGAAUAAGGAAGAAAUGAAGGAACUUAGUAAAAAACACAAGGACAAGAAUGAACUAGCUAGGAUAAAAAGAGAAUCCCAUCAGAAAUUAAUUGAACAAGCUGUAGCUGAGAGACAGAGGUUCAGCAGUUUACUUGACAAAAGAAAGAAUGAACUAGAAAGGCAGCAUAUAGAAAUCCGAAAGCAACUGGAAGAUGAAAAGAACUCUGCUCACGAAAGAUUGCAGCAAGAUUUCCAAGACAAAGUUUCCAGACUAUUAAUACAUACAGAAGAAUGUUCUUCGGAUUCCAGUCCUGCAAUCGAGCCGAUUGAAAGGACGACAUUAUGAAAAUUCUUGAAAGGUUCAUAUCUUUUCUUUCUUGAAUUUAGUGUGUGAAAAAGUCAUGAGUGUAUUAUAAUAUAUGCAGUGGAGGUGCCAGUAUUAUUAAGUGAGAGAAGCUCCCUGCCUUGUGGUCUGCCUCAGUCUGAUGAAUUCCAUCCGCCAAUGCCAGGGGUCCUCUGGAUUUGUGUGAUUCUUGCCAACAGAAUAUAUCUGUAACACAAAGCCAGGUGACCAGCACAACCACCGUUAUGUAAUAUAAUAUAUAAUAUACAUAUAAAUUAUACAUAACAUAUGUACACAUAUUCUUGUCACAGUAUUGGUGUUCUUCUCUUCAAAGGUUGUGGUUUUUAUCAAGUUCCAUUUUUUCUGAUUAUACUUGCAUGACUUCUGCUGACGUCUAGGAGCAGACAUAGCAUCUGAUGGUGAACGUUUUAAGUAUUAAUAGACUAUUUUGAUAGUAUGGCAAUCACAUAUAUGUAGAUUAUUAAAAAAUGUUAUUUGCUACACUACCAACUGUAAUGAAUGCAUUUCUUAACGUGGGAAAUAUGUAACAUUGUAAAAUAAUUAACUUUGUUAAAUUACUUGGAGGUUCCACCCCCAGCUCACAACUCUUGUGAUUGCUUCUCAUUCAUUGUUAAUAAAAUUUAUAAUUUUCAUGAAUUAAUAUAAAUUAAGCCGAAAUUAUACUUCUUAAAAAUAAAUUAAUUUUAUUAAAACAAGACAAUA
rnacentral:misc_RNA from 1 species